AUGUUGAUUGAAUUUGCUCCUGAUCCACCAUUAUUUAAGAUGUAACCCAUGCUUCAAUUAUCUACUUCUUUGCCACUUCAGUGCCCUGUUAUCAGGUCCACACACACUCCUUAUUUCACACGGCUGCAUCCGGAAUCCCCCUAUCUCAGGUUGAAGUCACGCUUCCACCCAUAAUGUCUGACGGCCAUAAAAUACCAUGUACCGAUGCAAGGUGGGUAGCGCUACGAAAGGAACAUAACAAGCGAUAUUAUGCUUCAAGAAAAGACGUUGAACGGUUAAUGUAACAACCCGACCUUUCGGGUCGUUAUAAUAAGAAAUGGCAGAUCUAUCAUUUCUUGCUUAAUAUUGCUUAAUUAUUGCUUAUUUCUUAUUAAUUACCUUGUACUCUUGAGAUUUCGAUUAUCGCAAUGGGUUUAAAUGAUAUUUUUAAACUAUGUUUUACAACGCAUUCACAAU
rnacentral:lncRNA from 1 species